rnacentral:rRNA from 1 species
ACGAGUUCUCGUUGAUGAUCGGUGCUUGCACUGAGAUUCAACAUCGAUCGAGCGGCGGACGGGUGAGUAACACGUGGGUAACCUGCCCUUAAGUGGGGGAUAACAUUUGGAAACAGAUGCUAAUACCGCAUAGAUCCAAGAACCGCAUGGUUCUUGGCUGAAAGAUGGCGUAAGCUAUCGCUUUUGGAUGGACCCGCGGCGUAUUAGCUAGUUGGUGAGGUAAUGGCUCACCAAGGCGAUGAUACGUAGCCGAACUGAGAGGUUGAUCGGCCACAUUGGGACUGAGACACGGCCCAAACUCCUACGGGAGGCAGCAGUAGGGAAUCUUCCACAAUGGACGCAAGUCUGAUGGAGCAACGCCGCGUGAGUGAAGAAGGCUUUCGGGUCGUAAAACUCUGUUGUUGGAGAAGAAUGGUCGGCAGAGUAACUGUUGUCGGCGUGACGGUAUCCAACCAGAAAGCCACGGCUAACUACGUGCCAGCAGCCGCGGUAAUACGUAGGUGGCAAGCGUUAUCCGGAUUUAUUGGGCGUAAAGCGAGCGCAGGCGGUUUUUUAAGUCUGAUGUGAAAGCCCUCGGCUUAACCGAGGAAGCGCAUCGGAAACUGGGAAACUUGAGUGCAGAAGAGGACAGUGGAACUCCAUGUGUAGCGGUGAAAUGCGUAGAUAUAUGGAAGAACACCAGUGGCGAAGGCGGCUGUCUGGUCUGUAACUGACGCUGAGGCUCGAAAGCAUGGGUAGCGAACAGGAUUAGAUACCCUGGUAGUCCAUGCCGUAUACGAUGAAUGCUA